GGGUUGUGAGGUUAAGCGACUAAGCGUACACGGUGGAUGCCCUGGCAGUCAGAGGCGAUGAAGGGCGUGCUAAUCUGCGAUAAGCGCCGGUAAGGUGAUAUGAACCGUUAUAACCGGCGAUACCCGAAUGGGGAAACCCAGUGUGAUUCGUCACACUAUCAUUAACUGAAUCCAUAGGUUAAUGAGGCGAACCGGGGGAACUGAAACAUCUAAGUACCCCGAGGAAAAGAAAUCAACCGAGAUUCCCCCAGUAGCGGCGAGCGAACGGGGAGGAGCCCAGAGCCUGAAUCAGCAUGUGUGUUAGUGGAAGCGUCUGGAAAGACGCGCGAUACAGGGUGACAGCCCCGUACACAAAAGCGCAUGUGCUGUGAGCUCGAUGAGUAGGGCGGGACACGUGGUAUCCUGUCUGAAUAUGGGGGGACCAUCCUCCAAGGCUAAAUACUCCUGACUGACCGAUAGUGAACCAGUACCGUGAGGGAAAGGCGAAAAGAACCCCGGCGAGGGGAGUGAAAAAGAACCUGAAACCGUGUACGUACAAGCAGUGGGAGCACAGGUUUACCUGUGUGACUGCGUACCUUUUGUAUAAUGGGUCAGCGACUUAUAUUCUGUAGCAAGGUUAACCGAAUAGGGGAGCCGGAGGGAAACCGAGUCUUAAUUGGGCGUUAAGUUGCAGGGUAUAGACCCGAAACCCGGUGAUCUAGCCAUGGGCAGGUUGAAGGUUGGGUAACACUAACUGGAGGACCGAACCGACUAAUGUUGAAAAAUUAGCGGAUGACCUGUGGCUGGGGGUGAAAGGCCAAUCAAACCGGGAGAUAGCUGGUUCUCCCCGAAAGCUAUUUAGGUAGCGCCUCGUGAAUUCAUCUCCGGGGGUAGAGCACUGUUUCGGCUAGGGGGCCAUCCCGGCUUACCAACCCGAUGCAAACUGCGAAUACCGGAGAAUGUUAUCACGGGAGACACACGGCGGGUGCUAACGUCCGUCGUGAAGAGGGAAACAACCCAGACCGCCAGCUAAGGUCCCAAAGUCAUGGUUAAGUGGGAAACGAUGUGGGAAGGCCCAGACAGCCAGGAUGUUGGCUUAGAAGCAGCCAUCAUUUAAAGAAAGCGUAAUAGCUCACUGGUCGAGUCGGCCUGCGCGGAAGAUGUAACGGGGCUAAACCAUGCACCGAAGCUGCGGCAGCGAACGUAUCACUUAAAGCGAUUCAGCGGGUUACGAUUGACGGAGCGAAGCGACGUCAAAGCGUAUACAAAGUCGAGUCGGUUUAAGGAUACGUUCGUUGGGUAGGGGAGCGUUCUGUAAGCCUGUGAAGGUGGCCUGUGAGGGUUGCUGGAGGUAUCAGAAGUGCGAAUGCUGACAUAAGUAACGAUAAAGCGGGUGAAAAGCCCGCUCGCCGGAAGACCAAGGGUUCCUGUCCAACGUUAAUCGGGGCAGGGUGAGUCGACCCCUAAGGCGAGGCCGAAAGGCGUAGUCGAUGGGAAACGGGUUAAUAUUCCCGUACUUGGUGUUACUGCGAAGGGGGGACGGAGAAGGCUAUGUUGGCCGGGCGACGGUUGUCCCGGUUUAAGCGUGUAGGCUGGUUUUCCAGGCAAAUCCGGAAAAUCAAGGCUGAGGCGUGACGACGAGGCACUACGGUGCUGAAGCAACAAAUGCCCUGCUUCCAGGAAAAGCCUCUAAGCAUCAGGUAACAUCAAAUCGUACCCCAAACCGACACAGGUGGUCAGGUAGAGAAUACCAAGGCGCUUGAGAGAACUCGGGUGAAGGAACUAGGCAAAAUGGUGCCGUAACUUCGGGAGAAGGCACGCUGACACGUAGGUGAAGUGAUUUACUCACGGAGCUGAAGUCAGUCGAAGAUACCAGCUGGCUGCAACUGUUUAUUAAAAACACAGCACUGUGCAAACACGAAAGUGGACGUAUACGGUGUGACGCCUGCCCGGUGCCGGAAGGUUAAUUGAUGGGGUCAGCGCAAGCGAAGCUCCUGAUCGAAGCCCCGGUAAACGGCGGCCGUAACUAUAACGGUCCUAAGGUAGCGAAAUUCCUUGUCGGGUAAGUUCCGACCUGCACGAAUGGCGUAAUGAUGGCCAGGCUGUCUCCACCCGAGACUCAGUGAAAUUGAACUCGCUGUGAAGAUGCAGUGUACCCGCGGCAAGACGGAAAGACCCCGUGAACCUUUACUAUAGCUUGACACUGAACAUUGAGCCUUGAUGUGUAGGAUAGGUGGGAGGCUUUGAAGCGUGGACGCCAGUCUGCGUGGAGCCGACCUUGAAAUACCACCCUUUAAUGUUUGAUGUUCUAACGUGGACCCGUAAUCCGGGUUGCGGACAGUGUCUGGUGGGUAGUUUGACUGGGGCGGUCUCCUCCUAAAGAGUAACGGAGGAGCACGAAGGUUGGCUAAUCCUGGUCGGACAUCAGGAGGUUAGUGCAAUGGCAUAAGCCAGCUUGACUGCGAGCGUGACGGCGCGAGCAGGUGCGAAAGCAGGUCAUAGUGAUCCGGUGGUUCUGAAUGGAAGGGCCAUCGCUCAACGGAUAAAAGGUACUCCGGGGAUAACAGGCUGAUACCGCCCAAGAGUUCAUAUCGACGGCGGUGUUUGGCACCUCGAUGUCGGCUCAUCACAUCCUGGGGCUGAAGUAGGUCCCAAGGGUAUGGCUGUUCGCCAUUUAAAGUGGUACGCGAGCUGGGUUUAGAACGUCGUGAGACAGUUCGGUCCCUAUCUGCCGUGGGCGCUGGAGAACUGAGGGGGGCUGCUCCUAGUACGAGAGGACCGGAGUGGACGCAUCACUGGUGUUCGGGUUGUCAUGCCAAUGGCACUGCCCGGUAGCUAAAUGCGGAAGAGAUAAGUGCUGAAAGCAUCUAAGCACGAAACUUGCCCCGAGAUGAGUUCUCCCUGAGACUUAGAGUCUCCUGAAGGAACGUUGAAGACGACGACGUUGAUAGGCCGGGUGUGUAAGCGCAGCGAUGCGUUGAGCUAACCGGUACUAAUGAACCGUGAGGCUUAACCUUACAACGCCGAAG
rnacentral:rRNA from 2 species